rnacentral:sRNA from 1 species
AUGGCUGCCGAGGGCGA